rnacentral:rRNA from 1 species
GACAGCAGUCGCCGCGGUAACACGUAGGGAGCAAGCGUUGUUCGGAUUUACUGGGCGUAAAGGGCGCGUAGGCGGCGCGGUAAGUCACUUGUGAAAUCUCUGAGCUUAACUCAGAACGGCCAAGUGAUACUGCUGUGCUAGAGUGCGGAAGAGGCAACCGGAAUUCUUGGUGUAGCGGUGAAAUGCGUAGAUAUCAAGAGGAACACCUGAGGCGAAGGCGGGUUGCUGGGCCGACACUGAUGCUGAUGCGCGAAAGCCAGGGGAGCAAAUGGGAUUAGAUACCCCGGUAGUCCCUGUCUCUUAUAC